rnacentral:rRNA from 1 species
AGGACGAACGCUGGCGGCGUGCUUAACACAUGCAAGUCGAGCGGAAAGGCCCUUCGGGGUACUCGAGCGGCGAACGGGUGAGUAACACGUGAGUAAUCUGCCCCUAGCUCUGGGAUAGCUCCGGGAAACCGGGAUUAAUACCGGAUACGACCACUUUAGACAUCUGUUGUGGUGGAAAGAAUUUUGGCUAGGGAUGAGCUCGCGGCCUAUCAGCUUGUUGGUGGGGUAAUGGCCUACCAAGGCGACGACGGGUA